rnacentral:rRNA from 1 species
UACGUAGGUGGCAAGCGUUGUUCGGAAUUAUUGGGCGUAAAGAGCGUGUAGGCGGCCAGAUAAGUCCGCUGUGAAAUCUCGAGGCUCAACUUCGAGCUGUCGGUGGAAACUAUCUGGCUAGAGUCCGGAAGAGGAGAAUGGAAUUCCUGGUGUAGCGGUGAAAUGCGCAGAUAUCAGGAAGAACACCCGUGGCGAAGGCGGUUCUCUGGGACGGUACUGACGCUGAGACGCGAAAGCGUGGGGAGCGAACAGG